UGUGCCAGCCGCCGCGGUAAUACGUAGGUGGCAAGCGUUGUCCGGAUUUACUGGGCGUAAAGGGAGCGUAGGUGGAUAUUUAAGUGGGAUGUGAAAUACUCGGGCUUAACCUGAGUGCUGCAUUCCAAACUGGAUAUCUAGAGUGCAGGAGAGGAAAGUAGAAUUCCUAGUGUAGCGGUGAAAUGCGUAGAGAUUAGGAAGAAUACCAGUGGCGAAGGCGACUUUCUGGACUGUAACUGACACUGAGGCUCGAAAGCGUGGGGAGCAAACAGGAUUAGAUACCCUGGUAGUCC
rnacentral:rRNA from 1 species